rnacentral:lncRNA from 1 species
AAGCCGCCACCGCCGCCGCCGCCGCUGCAUGGCACUAGGCUCCCGGCGGGGCAGGUUCCGCAGCCGGCACCGCUCUGGCUAGGCGCACGGAGGCGCCUUGCUUAGCCUGACCCUUAUUUGGCCAGGCGUAAAACUUGUCCUGCCUAAAAGCUUGCUGAGACCUCCUAACUGGUCUAAUCCGCGGGAGACGCCAAAGGCGGCGGCCGUUUGUGCGCACAGGAUUUUUCUUGGAGCUGUAGCAGUCUAGGAAGCCAGGGUGGAACUUUUGCUAAGCUCCCGUUGUAAGCCCAGAGCUGUAAUAACUGCUGAGACACAACCAGCAGUAUACAGGCUCCAGUUGGAAAUCGAGAACUUUCCAGGGCUGUCUGUCACCCAGGCUGGAGUGCAGUGGUGCCAUCACAGCUCACUGCAGCCUCGACCUCCUAGGCUAAAGUGAUCCUCCCAACUCAGCCUCCCAAGUAGCUGGGACUACAGGAAUGUGCCACGCCCAGGUCUAUCCAGCUAAAGUCAAAAAUGCCCCUCUCAGGCUGCCCCCAGUGACUCCAGUUUCCUAGCAGAGCCUAACCAGGUUAAGAAAUUUGUCUAUGGGUGCCUGAACCGAAAGUCAUAUUUCUUUUUACCACAAUGUGCUGCCUUAGAGGAACAAUUGCAUACAAUGGGAUCAAGUGCAUUGUAGGCUCUAUUUAUAACAUGCAUAUGAGAAAGAGAGCCCAUUGAGAUCUGCCUCAAGCUGAAGAUGAAAAGGGGGCCUCUGGAGUCGCUUGAUCGAGCAGAGUCUGAUAGAGUUAUCAGGCUUUUGCAGAUAGAAUGCCUACCAUCGUAGGAUACAUUGUCAUAAUCAGUGUUUAGGCAAAACACCUGGACUUCUGCAGGGAC